rnacentral:rRNA from 1 species
GAUGAACGCUGGCGGCGUGCCUAAUACAUGCAAGUCGAGCGAACAGACGCGGAGCUUGCUCCUCUGACGUUAGCGGCGGACGGGUGAGUAACACGUGGAUAACCUACAUAUAAGACUGGGAUAACUUCGGGAACCCGGAGCUAAUACCGGAUAAUAUAUUGAACCGCAUGGUUCAAUAGUGAAAGACGGUUUUGCUGUCACUUAUAGAUGGAUCCGCGCCGCAUUAGCUAGUUGGUAAGGUAACGGCUUACCAAGGCAACGAUGCGUAGCCGACCUGAGAGGGUGAUCGGCCACACUGGAACUGAAACACGGUCCAGACUCCUACGGGAGGCAGCAGUAGGGAAGCGUCCGCAAUGGGCGAAAGCCUGACGGAGCAGCGCCGCGUGAGUGAUGAAGGUCUUCGGAUCGUAAAACUCUGUUAUUAGGGAAGAACAAAUGUGUAAGUAACUAUGCACGUCUUGACGGUACCUUAUCAGAAAGCCACGGCUAACUACGUG